CCUACGGGAGGCAGCAGUGAGGAAUAUUGGUCAAUGGACGCGAGUCUGAACCAGCCAAGUAGCGUGAAGGAUGACUGCCCUCUGGUUUGUAAACUUCUUUUAUAUGGGAAUAAAAUGUUCCACGUGUGGGGUUUUGUAUGUACCAUAUGAAUAAGGAUCGGCUAACUCCGUGCCAGCAGCCGCGGUAAUACUGAGGAUCCGAGCGUUAUCCGGAUUUAUUGGGUUUAAGGGGAGCGUAGGUGGGUUGUUAAGUCAGUUGUGAAAGUGUGCGGCUCAACCGUAAAAUUGCAGUUGAAACUGGCAGUCUUGAGUACAGUAGAGGUGGGCGGAAUUCGUGGUGUAGCGGUGAAAUGCUUAGAUAUCACGAAGAACUCCGAUUGCGAAGGCAGAUCACUGGACUGCAACUGACACUGAGGCUCGAAAGUGUGGGUAUCAAACAGGAUUAGAUACCCCUGUAGUC
rnacentral:rRNA from 1 species